rnacentral:rRNA from 1 species
AUUGAACGCUGGCGGCAGGCCUAACACAUGCAAGUCGAGCGAGGCGCGGACGUGUGAGUAAUGUCUGUGAAACUGCCUGAUGGAUGGGGAUAACUACUGGAAACGGUAGCCAAUACCGCAUACCAUGGGAUGUUACAAGAUUGCAUUGGCUAGUAGGUGGGGUAAAGGCUAACGAAGGACACGAUGCAUAGCGGGUGUGAGAGGAGGACCGGCCACACUGGAACUGAGACACGGUCCAGACUCCUACGGGAGGCAGCAGUGGGGAAUCUUGCACAAUGGGCGAAAGCCUGAUGCAGCCAGGCCGCGUGUGUGAAGAAGGUCUUCGGGUUGUAAAGCACUUUCAUCGAGGAGGCGUUACUCGAAGAGGAAGCAACGGCUAACUACGUGCCAGCAGCCGCGGUAAUAC